GUGCCAGCCGCCGCGGUAAUACGUAGGGUGCAAGCGUUAAUCGGAAUUACUGGGCGUAAAUCGUGCGCAGGCGGUAAUGUAAGACAGAUGUGAAAUCCCCGGGCUCAGCCUGGGAACUGCAUUUGUGACUGCAUUGCUGGAGUGCGGCAGAGGGGGAUGGAAUUCCGCGUGUAGCAGUGAAAUGCGUAGAUAUGCGGAGGAACACCGAUGGCGAAGGCAAUCCCCUGGGCCUGCACUGACGCUCAUGCACGAAAGCGUGGGGAGCAAACAGGAUUAGAAACCCGGGUAGUCC
rnacentral:rRNA from 1 species